GCAGAGUCGGAGCAGAACUCCUGUAGGACAACAUCUCCAGGACACUACACUCCAUAUGACUAAUGAUUCCUGACCUUAAAAGCAUCCUAUUUCAGAAAUGGAUUGGAUUUUGGAUUCCCAAAACUAGGUAUCAUUACGACAAUCACAAGUGCAAUGCUGUACCAGGAGAGCCGCUGUGCAAGUUUACUACAGUACAUCAGAAAAGCCAUACAGUACAUGGAGCAGAUUAUGUGAUGCAACCAUUGCAAACCAUUCAUCAUGGUAGAAGUGUAAGGAACCAUGCAAAAAUAAGCCUUUAUGGUGUUUCACUGCCAGUGCUCAUUUCAGCUAGAAACUGCAGUUAA
ensembl:lncRNA